rnacentral:rRNA from 1 species
GAUGAACGCUGGCGGCGUGCCUAAUACAUGCAAGUCGAGCGAACGGACGAGAAGCUUGCUUCUCUGAUGUUAGCGGCGGACGGGUGAGUAACACGUGGAUAACCUACCUAUAAGACUGGGAUAACUUCGGGAAACCGGAGCUAAUACCGGAUAAUAUUUUGAACCGCAUGGUUCAAAAGUGAAAGACGGUCUUGCUGUCACUUAUAGAUGGAUCCGCGCUGCAUUAGCUAGUUGGUAAGGUAACGGCUUACCAAGGCAACGAUGCAUAGCCGACCUGAGAGGGUGAUCGGCCACACUGGAACUGAGACACGGUCCAGACUCCUACGGGAGGCAGCAGUAGGGAAUCUUCCGCAAUGGGCGAAAGCCUGACGGAGCAACGCCGCGUGAGUGAUGAAGGUCUUCGGAUCGUAAAACUCUGUUAUUAGGGAAGAACAUAUGUGUAAGUAACUGUGCACAUCUUGACGGUACCUAAUCAGAAAGCCACGGCUAACUACGUGCCAGCAGCCGCGGUAAUACGUAGGUGGCAAGCGUUAUCCGGAAUUAUUGGGCGUAAAGCGCGCGUAGGCGGUUUUUUAAGUCUGAUGUGAAAGCCCACGGCUCAACCGUGGAGGGUCAUUGGAAACUGGAAAACUUGAGUGCAGAAGAGGAAAGUGGAAUUCCAUGUGUAGCGGUGAAAUGCGCAGAGAUAUGGAGGAACACCAGUGGCGAAGGCGACUUUCUGGUCUGUAACUGACGCUGAUGUGCGAAAGCGUGGGGAUCAAACAGGAUUAGAUACCCUGGUAGUCCACGCCGUAAACGAUGAGUGCUAAGUGUUAGGGGGUUUCCGCCCCUUAGUGCUGCAGCUAACGCAUUAAGCACUCCGCCUGGGGAGUACGACCGCAAGGUUGAAACUCAAAGGAAUUGACGGGGACCCGCACAAGCGGUGGAGCAUGUGGUUUAAUUCGAAGCAACGCGAAGAACCUUACCAAAUCUUGACAUCCUUUGACAACUCUAGAGAUAGAGCUUUCCCCUUCGGGGGACAAAGUGACAGGUGGUGCAUGGUUGUCGUCAGCUCGUGUCGUGAGAUGUUGGGUUAAGUCCCGCAACGAGCGCAACCCUUAAGCUUAGUUGCCAUCAUUAAGUUGGGCACUCUAAGUUGACUGCCGGUGACAAACCGGAGGAAGGUGGGGAUGACGUCAAAUCAUCAUGCCCCUUAUGAUUUGGGCUACACACGUGCUACAAUGGACAAUACAAAGGGCAGCGAAACCGUGAGGUCAAGCAAAUCCCAUAAAGUUGUUCUCAGUUCGGAUUGUAGUCUGCAAUUCGACUACAUGAAGCUGGAAUCGCUAGUAAUCGUAGAUCAGCAUGCUACGGUGAAUACGUUCCCGGGUCU